AGAAGAUAACAAUUAUGUCCCCGUACGGACUUCAACAAUUACUAUAAACUGAUAUACCACAUAGUCAAACAAAUAAAAGUCCCAGAAAUUACGUUUUUUUUAUAUGACUUGCACAUAAUGAAAAUUAAAGUUGUGCAUACUGAAUGAUCACUGGCAAGUAUUUCAAGCAUAAUACGGAUGAGAACAUGCAGAUAAGUAUCAAUUAUGAAAGUUAUGCAAAGUAAGACGGGAGCUAGAUAUAUGGACUGCCAUAAAAAAAAUGAAUGGACAAUUACGCUUGGUGCA
rnacentral:lncRNA from 1 species